rnacentral:misc_RNA from 1 species
GAAAGAACGCUGAAGGUUCAGUUUCUAAAAAUGUCAAGGAUCCUGAGCCUGUUUUCUGGGCUCCAGCCCCAUUGACUGUCAAAUCCUGGGCGGAUGUUGAUGAUGAAGAUGAUGAUGAUUAUUACGCUACUACAGCUCCGCCACAGGCUGUUUGGGGACCUGAUACUGCUAAUGAACAUCAUCACAAGCCUAAGGAAACUGUAACUCCACUCCAGGAAAGUGAAAGUGAAGAAGAAGGAAUUGAUGAAGCUGAUGAUGAUAAUGAAGAAGAACAUGAGCAGGAACCUGAUUUACCAGAGGAAAAGGAGCCAAUUGUUAAGAAGACUGCUGAAAAUGUGGCACCCAAAGAGUCGGAAAGGCAGCUUUCAAAGAAGGAACUUAAGAAAAAGGAGCUUGCUGAGCUUGAAGCUAUGCUUGCUGAAUUUGGAUUAAGCAAAGCUGAGAGCAAUGAUGAUUCACAAGGUGCUGCACAGGAUAAGGUGGAAAAACUCAAUGGAGAGAUGGCUAAGAAGGAUGAUAAUGCUCCUGGGGAGAGCAAGAGCGCAAAGAAAAAGAAGAAGAAAGAUAAAUCAUCAAAGGAGUCCAAAGAGCAACAUGAUCAAUCCAAUGGCGUUGAGCUUGGAAAUGGGACUAGUGAAACAGUUUCAAGCGAGAAAGGAGAAGAUGCACCUACUGUUGCUGCAAAGGACAAGAUAAAGAAAAUGACAUCUCUUAAGAAGAAAAAAUCAAUCAAGGAGGUAGAUGCUGCUGCCAAAGCUGUGGCCAGUGAGGCUGCAGCAAGGAGUGCAAGGCUAGCUGCUGCAAAGAAAAAGGAGAAGAACCAUUACAACCAGCAACCCCUGCGGUGAAAUGUUUCUUGAAUUGGAAGUGAGCAUGUAUCUUGUUCAUUUGUUAAAUGCACAAUAAACAUCAGAAUCUGGUUCAAUAGAGAUGGACUCUGUCAUACUAUUUUUAUUUUA